rnacentral:lncRNA from 1 species
UGUUUUAACGGUUUAGAAUGGAAAUGGAUUGAGUUUUGAAGAGAAAAGGCCAAGGAGGCAUUUUGCCAUGUUCGGCCGCCGAAGGUAAUGUUCGGCCGCCGAAAAUGCCCUAGAUUCGGCCCCCGAAAGUCUGAGUUCGGCCGCCGAACAUUGCACGGUUUUGCAUGCGAUUCGGCUGCCGAAGCUGAGGCGGUUGUUCAUCUAUAAAGGGCACCGAGUCCAGAAAAAAGGAGGAGGAUUCUUCUCUCUUUCUGGCCUAGGUGAGUUCUUGAUCUCCUUGGAUUGUUUUCAUGGUUUUUCUUCAAAUCUUUCAAAGUUAAACAAGUUUUAAGUCAGGUUUAUGUGUUUUUGAAUAGUUUGAAAGCUUAGAGAAGUUUGGAGCUUGGAUCUCCAUAUCUUCGAGUUUGGAUCCUACCAGCCUUUGUACUUCAAGAGGUAAGUGUUGAUCCAUGGUUUUUCUAAUGUUUUAGAUGAGUUUUAUGACGGGGAAAGGGAGUUUGCAUGAUUGUGCAUCUUAGGGUUUAUGUACCCUUUGUGCAUGUUUGAUGUGUAUAUGGUUAGUGUUGGGGUUUUGAGCUUGUUUUCAGCCCCUAUGAGCUAGUAGAAGUGUUUAUGCAUGAUUUGGAGAGGUUAGAUGCAUGUGGUGAGAGUGUAGCAGGGGUUGGAGGGUCUAGAAAGCGUCCUUGUGCACGAAGCUGAGUUCUGGAUGAACUCAGGUUCGGCAGCCGAAGGAGGAUUCGGCCGCCGAAUAUGCCCGACUUUCAUCUCUGGAGGAGACAUUGGGCCGCCGAAGGUGCUGCCGAAGGUGUCUUGUCCAACCUUCCUUUGCUUGUUUUGCAUGCAUGUUUUGAGGUGUUCUAGAGGGAUUUUGGGGAGUUGUUUAUCAGUUGUAUAGAGUAUGUUUGGUGCCUCAUUUGUGUCCUCCAUUGUAGGAUUGGACCCGAGGAACCGAGGUGUUUAGCAGUAAUAGCUGCUUCAGAGUUAGAGGUAGCCCAGAGUUAGCCAAGCAGUGGCUACAGGUGAGUGGAACUAAACUUCAUAUUUUACUUGAGAAAUGACACGCUUCUAGCAUGAUCCAUGCAUCGUAAAAUGCCAUGUUAUGUAUUAGGUUGUGUUGCAUUAGAAUUCAUGAAUAUGAUGCAUUGCAUAAGAUGUUGUUCAUGUGGAUGAAUGUUGGAUGAUCCUUAGCCCUUGAUAUGAGAUCAGAGAUUAUGAGUUGAGAUAUGGCAUGAGGUAGCCAUACCAGGUCGCUCCUGGAUAGUCCAGGUCGCUCCUGGUACUAUGAAUUAGAUAGACAGCCUGUCAAAUCAAAGAUCAGAGAAGUCCAGGUGAUGACCUAGUCUCCUUGGCACAGUGGGACAUGUUAUGAUAUGAGUUAGAUAAGAGAAGUCCAGGUGAUGACCUAGUCUCCUUGGCACAGCAGGACAUAUUAUGACAUGUAGUAGAGGGCUAUUGGUGACAAAUUCAUCCGUGAGAUGCUAUGUUUGUGAUGUGAUGCAUUCCAUAAGAGCAUGUAAUGAAUGACUUGUUUUAUUGUUCCUCCUCACUGGGAUAUAGAGCUCAUCCCACUCCCUUAACCCCAGUUUUGCAGGUUCCGAGAUAGCUAUGGGAAGUCAGAGUCAACAAGAAUAAAGAAAGCUAUGCAUGAAUGUAUGUUUGUAAUAGCGUAGUGGACAUGAUGUAAAUAAAAGAUUAGUUGUAAUGUAAUGUAUAGAUAUGUACUGUCAUGUACUGGAUAGACUUGUGCUUUCCCUAGUGUCUUUGCUUUAGUGUGAUGUAUGAUUAAUCCCUUGUACAUGAAUCCUGUUUUACGUUUCUUGAUGAGAAAUGUGUGUAUCAAGCUUAAUGUAUGUCUUUGAUGAGAUACCAGUGGAUUGUGUGACAGAUUAAAAGGGUUUCAAUCCCUUGACCCACAGCAGAUAGUAGUCAUUGGUAUAGGCCCUGAGGGCCAUUUCAGAUUGGCAUAUCUGAGUAGCAGUAGUUAAGCCUGGAGAGUUUUACAGGAUUGUUGAGUAUUUUUUAUCAUGUAUGGGAUUUAUCAGGUACACAGAGAGUAUAGUCGGCUUGCUACGGGUCUCGGCGGCCUUAAGCCGAUCUGGAUCCUAGUGCCAGUAAUGGUUCGGACCGUUACAGAGGGGUACCGGUUUUCGGGCUAUUACAGAUUGGUAUCAGAGCAUAGGGCCUCAAGAGUACGGUGUGUUGAGCAUCUUUGUUCACGGACUAGAGAUAUCCCACAUCGGAAAGGGGUGUUGUCGUGUAUAGGAGGGUAAGCACAAUAAGUAAAAUGAUGUCCACUAGGAUAGGAUGUGGAGUCCUGUCUUGCAUGAUGAUGUGAAAUGCCAUGAUGAGCUGCAUGUGCAUUAUUGAUAUGUUUGAUAUGUGCUGAGGAUUCAUGUGUUCUCAUAUGGAUCCUUUGAUGAUAUAUUUGUGUGUUGUUGUGCUUUUCAGAGGUAGGAUGAGAGGAACUCGUCGAUCUGCUAGAUUGACUGGAGCUCCGCCGGAGAAUGAGGACAUGGAUGCCCAUCUCCCCGUUCUGCAAAGGGCAACAUCAGAUAGAUUAAGUAGAGAAGGUACAUCAAGGGACCCUAAAAGGUCUGUUGAUAAGAGUAGAAGGGGAGUUGUUCAGCGUGGUAAGUCAGGGGAUAUGAGGGAAGUAGAGGAGGAUGAGCAGAGCAGAGAUGGUAGCUUUGGCAUGAGUAGGUUGGGAGGAGAUAUGGGUGAGUCCCAAGGAGGCACUCAGGCCUCGAGAUUUGUUCCACCUCAGUAUUCGCCCUACCCGUGGGGGUCAGGGUAUUCGAUGGGUGGUACAGCGGGUUUUCCUGGGUAUAACCCAUAUCCCACCUUUAUGCCUUAUCCUUCCUUCUACCCGCCAUAUCCACAGUAUACCAUGUUCCCACCCUUCUUUGGUUAUCCAAGUUCAGCAAACCUUAACCCAGGGCAUGUUGCACCUCCUCCACCACCAGUAGAACCAGUAGCCCCAGUUGUCCAAACACCCAAGCCUAGUUCACUUGGAGGAAGUAUGGUACAGAUGACAGACUAUUUGAGGUUGGAUGUUCCCAAGUUUGAGACUGGUGAUGACCCUUUUGAGUAUCUCAAAACGGUCAAGAUGAUAACUGAUGAGUUGGGAGCUAGUGAGAGUAGAGCCAUUCAGAUGGCAGGGGUCACAUUGAAACGUGAGAAGGCAAGGGAAUGGUUCAACCAGUAUGUGGACCCGAGGGUAAAAAGCUUAUCCUGGGAGCAGUUUGCUACAGAGUUUACAGGAUGGGCAUUUCCAGAUAGCUCAAGGGAGCGUAAGGAGAGUGAAUCUGAGUAGCUAAGACAGACAGAAAACAUGAGUAUAGAUAGUUACCCAGAGAAUAUUGAUCAUUUCCCUUCGGGUGAGGCUGCUGCAAAGAAUAAAAAGAAAGUUAGAGGCCUGAAAGGGUCCAAGAAAAGAGAGUUCUAGAAGAGGUUCAAGUCUAGUAUGGGUUUUAGCGAUGGCUCGAGUUCUGGUUGGGAUAGUUCUAGAUGUACGAGGUGCGGUAGGAGGCACAAAGGAGUCUGUCUCGUAGGGACAACAGCAUGUUUCAGGUGCGGACAGGAGGGGCACAUAGCACGUGAGUGUUCCACCGCGACUUUGAUAACACAGUCCCAGCAGACAGCCUCAGACAGAGUGGCUCAGCCAGGAGCUCUAGCCAUGGCACAGGGCAGAGGCAGAGGGAGCGAGAUCACUCCUUCUUCCACAGGUUCCCCAGGUGAAGGUCCAUCAGUACCAGCACGGAUCUUCGCUUUGACGCAGCAGGAGGCUCACACAUCGGACAUGGCGGUGACAGGUACAUUUCACUUCCAUAUGUUUUGAUGUGUCUGCUAUUAGAGACUCUGAUGUUUUGCUUUCCUUAGGGCUUUGAGAGCCAUAGAGAGUAGGGGUUUGAUAGCUUCUGGGAUUAGAAUGUCCUCUUUGGGUCAAUAGACUCAAGUGUGAUCCAUCAGCGGCAGAGUCAGUCUGCCAGUUGAGUUCAGUGCUAGUUGUGAGUAGGUGCCUUCCAGCUGACCUAGUGGUUCUAGGGUGAUUGUUUGAUGUCAUUCUAGGGGUGGAUGGGCUAGCUACUCAUAGUACUGCCUUAGAUAGUAGAGAUAGAGUAGUCAGGCUUAGAGAUCAGGACGGAUCACAAGUAGUUUGUUGAGGGGACAGUGUAGAGAUGCCGGGAGUUUAAUAUCAGCCCUAUAGGCUCUUAAACUGUUUAGGAGAGGUUAUCAGAGGUUUCUUGCUUGUGUCAGAGAGCAUAGCAGUUAGUUAGAUCAGGAGGGAAACCAGUUUUAGUGCCCGCAGCCAGAGAAAAGCGUUAGAUAUUGACCCAGACAAGUCAUCAGGUUUACCACCUGCUAAGAGAAUAGAAUGGGAUAUAAGAAUGGUGUCUAGACCCAGAACCAUUCCUAGUCUUCUCUGCAGGAUGGCACCAGUAGAGUGAGAGAGAUAGUAAAAGCCAAACGAGUAGUAGCUAGAGGUUAGUGAGCCAGGAAAGAGCUCGAAGUGUUGCUAUGAGAUGCUAUGGCCUUGGAUUUUAUCCAGGUAUAGGGAGAGUGAUCUCUCAUCUCCGAAUGUAGCCCUCAAGUAUAAGAAAUAAUUCAGAGAACAGAGGAAGAAAAGAGUAAGAAUAAGUAUAAGUUCAGAAAGAGAUUUCAGUUUAGUCUGGGAUUAGGUGGUGGUUGAGGCAGAGGAAAGGGUUGGCCUUUCCAUUAGUAGGUUCCCGAGGGAAGUUCCGUUAGCUUUGGCUCGGAUCUUCACCCUGACUCAACAGGAGGCUAUCACAUCGAACACGGUAACGUCAGGUACGUUCACUUGUAGAUGUUCGAAUGUGUAUACUGUUUGUUUUGAAUCCUAGUGUUUCUCUUUCCUUGUUGCUUUGAGUGAGCUGUUGAUAGAGUGGGUUUGAUGACUUCUGGGCCUAGAGUGUGUCUCUGGGUCAGUGGACCCGAGUAUGAUCCAUCUAAGGCAGAGUCAGUCAGUCAGUUCAGUUCAGAGUUUGUGGUGAGUAGAUGCUAUCCAGCUAUCCAGCUGACCUUAUGGUUCUAGAGUUGGCUAUUUGAUGUCAUUCUAGGGCGGAUUGGCUAGCUACUCAUAGUACUACCUAUGUCUGCAGAGACAAGGUAGGAGAGUUCAGAGUGCUGGAUGGAUCAGAGGUAGUCCUUGGAGGGGACAGAGUAUAGGUGCCUAGAGGUUUGAUGUCAACCCAGCAGGCUCCUAGUUUACACAGGAAAGGUUGUCAGAGGGUUCUAGCUUUUGUGAGCAAGUUUUGUAGUCAGAUCUGGGAAUUAGCCUCAAUGCCUGUAGCUAGUGAGUUCUAGAUGUUUUUCCCAUACGAGCUUGCAGGUUUACCAUCUGUCAGGGAGCCAGAGAUUGGAAUAGAAGUGGUGUCUGGACGCGGAACCAUUUCUUUCCUUCUACCCUACAAGAUGGCACCUACAGAGAGAGAAUAGGCAGAAUAGUAUAGAGAAGCUUGGUAGAUAAAGGUUGUAUCCGACUUAGUACCUCACCCUGGAAUGUUCCAGUGUCAGUGUGAGAAACAAAGGAUGAAACCUUAAGAUUUUGUAACGACUGUGAGCAGUUGAACAAAAUCACUACCAAGGACAGGUGUUCCGAUGCAGAAUGGAUGCUCUAUAGGAAUAGCUAGUAGACGCUAGUUGUUUUCCAUAAUAGAUCUGAGAGUCGGGAACUAUAUGUCGAAAGUUAGAAAAAAAAAACAAAAAAAUUCAGUUUAGCAGUUGAAUAGAGAUGAGAUCCUUAUCGAUCAAGGAGUUUAUAGUGAAGAGUCUAAAGCAGAGGUAAGGGGUAAAACUGCUCAACGACUCUGAGUAUACAAAACAGUAUCUACUGGGCGAGGCAGAUGAGAUGUUAGCUGCCCUCAGUCAGAAGUUGCUUACCAGUUUAUCCGAUAGACAUAGGUAUUACUUCAGACUGAUGAUCGGUUGGAUCAACUGGCAGGAGCCAGUUGUUUUCCAAGCUAAAUCUGAAGUCUGGGUGCUAGCUGUUGAGAGCUAGAGUUAGUCCAGUGUAGUAGGAAGGGAUCAAAAGAGAAGAAGCUAGUAUAGUAAAGAAGAAGAAAGGCGGGCAAGGAUCAGAGUGCGCAGUAAAAGUAUAGGAUAGUUCAGAAAAAUAGAGAAGCAUGCCCAUUAUCUACUACGUGUUGUAGAUUUUAAGAGAACACAGCAUAGAGGCCAAGUUCUGUAAUAUGAGUUCGAUUUCGGGGCAUGUCUGGGAGAAUCGUGACGUGUCACAAUACGAUUUCUGAAGUACGUAGAGAGUUGAAGCUAUAGGCAAGUCAUCUAACAUUUCCUUAGAGUUGUUGAUCCUCUGACCAGGUUGAGUAAAGAGAAGCAAAGGUUAGUGUAACCAGAGUAGUGUGAAUAAAGCUGAGAAGAGCCAAAGAGAAAGGAAAGUCAGUAGUCAGAUGAAAGAAUCAAGUCAGUUGUGUACUGGCAGAAGUGAUAAACAGUCAGUGUAGAGUGUGGACACAGAUUAAGCAGUUAAGAGUCAGCAGAGUCAGGUAAUGAUUGUAUACGACCCGGGAGUGUUUACUCCAGUAAUAUCUGUGUCUCGUUUCAAAGGAAGGUGUUAGGCUUUCCUUAAUUGCUUGUUUACAUGUGUGUUUGUUGUGUGAACAUUCGAGGACGAAUGUUCUUAAAGGGGGGAAGAAUGUAAUACCAAGCUAGAUUCAGACAUCGGAAUUCCUACCGUCCGGUGGAAUGCGAGGAUGUCAGAGGUUUCUAGAAGGGUAAGAGAAAGGUUUGUUAAAAUGUGUUCGAGUGUUUUUGAGUGUUUUAACGGUUUAGAAUGGAAAUGGAUUGAGUUUUGAAGAGAAAAGGCCAAGGAGGCAUUUUGCCAUGUUCGACCGCCGAAGGUAAUGUUCGGCCGCCGAAAAUGCCCUAGAUUCGGCCCCCGAAAGUCUGAGUUCGGCCGCCGAACGUUGCAUGGUUUUGCAUGCGAUUCGGCUGCCGAAGCUGAGGCGGUUGUUCAUCUAUAAAGGGCACCGAGUCCAGAAAAAAGGAGGAGGAUUCUUCUCUCUUUCUGGCCUAGGUGAGUUCUUGAUCUCCUUGGAUUGUUUUCAUGGUUUUUCUUCA